rnacentral:lncRNA from 1 species
CUCAGCCCUGAGGAAAUCUAGGGACCGGUUCCCCUUUAUGUCAAUCUCAGACCUAAGUUAAUCUCAGACUCAGCUUCAUAGAAUCUGAGGAACAGGACAUCAGAUGGCAUCAAAUCCAAUAAUCAUCACAGGAAUAGAAACCAAGGUCCAAGUUUGGGCAUCAGGAGGUAUCUUCAGGUUCUCUCUUCGUCUGCUUCCUAGUGUAUAGCCACAAGCCUACUAUACUGUGAUACAUAAAACCCAGAGAUGUGGCAAAUGAAAGUGGGAGCAACAAAACUACUACAGCGUAAGCCUGUAAUGCAAGGCGGAGGAAGGAAAGUAAAUGCUUAAAGUUUUCAUACAGCUAACUCUGUUGAUAGCUGCCAAGUAAAGAACCUAAAUUCAAGUGCUUUAUAAUUGUUACAAAUUGUGCCAAAGUACAGCGUGUUACAAUAAAUUAUGAAGCUUAUCUAAAUUAUAAAAGUAAUUAAACUUUCCUCAGAUACUCAUAACUCUGCCCUCCAUAAAUUUUCUGUUCAUUGCAUAUUCAAUACCUAUGUGUUCCAGUAAAACAAAAAAACUAAAAAAAAAAAAAACCAGAAGAAAGAACAAUCUCCUAAGAACGAUGAUGCACAAAUAGGCAUACAGCAUAAUCUAAACUGCAGAAAUGCAUGAACAGUUCCUCUCAAGAUCUUCAACCAUAACAAAUGUUAAUAAAAAUAUUUAUACUAGAAACAAUUCUCAGCUUUUUUGAAGUUUUGUUUUCCUCUUAUUAUUAUAGACAUUUGUUUUAACAUGAGUUUUCUCCUCCAUCCCAACAUUUCCUACUGCUGCAUGAUGCCAUAAAUCUUUGUUAGCAUAUUACUGUACAAUCUGUCACAAUAAUAACAAAAAUAAUGAAAGCCAUAGUAACCCAGUUAUAUAGUCCUUGCCACUUGCAAGAGUCCCAACUUCUUUAUAUACUCUAAAUAGUAGAAUAUAUACAGGAUCCAUCAAUUGCUGAAACACAGCAGUCUACAAUGGAAUACAGCUGCUGCUGAGAAUCAAACUGAACAAGAGCUGUAAAAUUACAAAAAAAAAAAAAAAAAAAGUUUAAAGCCACAAGAGAAUAUAUGGAGGAUACCAUUUCCAAGUUUAAAUUUAAAGAAAGACCAAAAAUGGCAUCCUGAUACUCGUAAGGCAAAAAAACAUCGUUCUUUCUAAAGGUUCAACCAUAUUUCCACUGGGAGCAAAUCAGCCGAGCAGGUGUGUUAGUGAUGAAGGAAACCCUUAUUCUAUUAUAAAUAUCUUCAAUAAUCAGCAAA